rnacentral:rRNA from 1 species
GAUGAACGCUAGCGGCAGGCCUAAUACAUGCAAGCCGAACGGCAAGUUUGAUAGCAAUAUUGGACCUAGAGUGGCGCAAGGGUGCGUAACACGUAUGCAACCUGCCCGCGACAGGAGGAUAGCUCCCCGAAAGGGGAAUUAACCCUCCAUAACACCAUGAGAAGGCAUCUGAUUAUGUUUAAACGGCAAGGGGUCGCGGAUGGGCAUGCGGUUGAUUAGCUAGUUGGCGGGGUAAAGGCCCACCAAGGCGGUGAUCAAUAGGGGUUCUGAGAGGAAGGUCCCCCACACUGGCACUGAGAUACGGGCCAGACUCCUACGGGAGGCAGCAGUAGGGAAUAUUGGACAAUGGUUGCAAGUCUGAUCCAGCCAUGCCGCGUGCAGGAAGAAGGCCUUCUGGGUCGUAAACUGCUUUUUCCUGUGGAUAAAAUACCCGGGCGCGGGGAAUUGAAGGUAACAGGGGAAUAAGCCACGGCUAACUACGUG